GAAAGAUGGUUCUGCUAUCACUCUUGGAUGGACCUGCGGUGCAUUAGCUAGUUGGUAAGGUAACGGCUUACCAAGGCAAUGAUGCAUAGCCGAGUUGAGAGACUGAUCGGCCACAUUGGGACUGAGACACGGCCCAAACUCCUACGGGAGGCAGCAGUAGGGAAUCUUCCACAAUGGACGAAAGUCUGAUGGAGCAACGCCGCGUGAGUGAAGAAGGGUUUCGGCUCGUAAAGCUCUGUUGGUAGUGAAGAAAGAUAGAGGUAGUAACUGGCCUUUAUUUGACGGUAAUUACUUAGAAAGUCACGGCUAACUACGUGCCAGUAGCCGCGGUAAUACGUAGGUGGCAAGCGUUGUCCGGAUUUAUUGGGCGUAAAGCGAGUGCAGGCGGUUCAAUAAGUCUGAUGUGAAAGCCUUCGGCUCAACCGGAGAAUUGCAUCAGAAACUGUUGAACUUGAGUGCAGAAGAGGAGAGUGGAACUCCAUGUGUAGCGGUGGAAUGCGUAGAUAUAUGGAAGAACACCAGUGGCGAAGGCGGCUCUCUGGUCUGCAACUGACGCUGAGGCUCGAAAGCAUGGGUAGCGAACAGGAUUAGAUACCCUGGUAGUCCAUGCCGUAAACGAUGAGUGCUAAGUGUUGGGAGGUUUCCGCCUCUCA
rnacentral:rRNA from 1 species